rnacentral:rRNA from 1 species
UAGUGGCAAACGGGUGAGUAACACGUGGGUAAUCUACCUUGGAGAUUGGGAUAACUUCUGGAAACGGAUGCUAAUACCGAAUAAUUCAUAUUUAGAUAACUAGAUAUGCUAAAAGGUGCUUCGGCAUCACUUCAAGAUGAGCUUGCGGUGUAUUAGAUAGUUGGUGGGGUAAUGGCCUACCAAGUCAACGAUGCAUAGCCGAGCUGAGAGGCUGAUCGGCCACAUUGGAACUGAGAUACGGUCCAAACUCCUACGGGAGGCAGCAGUUAGGAAUAUUCGUCAAUGGGGGAAACCCUGAACGAGCAAUGCCGCGUGAAUGAUGACAGUCCUAGUGAUUGUAAAAUUCUGUUGUGAAGAAAGAACCUCUAGUAUAGGUAAUGAUACUAGACUGACGGUACUUCACCAGAAAGCCCCGGCUAACUACGUGCCAGCAGCCGCGGUAAUACGUAGGGGGCGAGCGUUAUCCGGAUUUAUUGGGCGUAAAGCGUGUGUAGGCGGUUUAUUUAGUCUAAGAUCAAAGCCUGAGGCUCAACCUCAGUUCGUCUUANAAACUGGUAGACUUGAGUGUGGUAGANGCAAAUGGAACUUCUAGUGUAGCGGUUAAAUGCGUAGAUUUUAGAAAGAACACCCAGUGGCGAAGGCGKUUUGYUGGGGCCAUUACUGACGCUGAGACACGAAAGCGUGGGGGAGCAAAUAGGAUUAGAUCCCCUAGUAGUCCCCCGCUGUAAACGAUGAGUACUAAGUGUCGGCCAACCGGUGCUGAAGUUAACACAUUAAGUACUCCGCCUGAGUAGUACGGUCGCAAGGCUGAAACUCAAAGGAAUUGACGGGCACCCGCACAAGCGGUGGAGCAUGCUGUUUAAUUCGAAGAUACGCGAAGAACCUUACCUAGACUUGACAUCCCUGGCAAAGCUAUAGAAAUAUAGUGGAGGUUACCCAGGUGACAGGUGGUGCAUGGUUGUCGUCAGCUCGUGUCGUGAGAUGUUCGGUUAAGUCCGAUAACGAGCGCAACCCUUAUUACUAGUUGCUAACAUUUAGUUGAGAACUCUAGUAAGACUGCCGGUGAUAAACCGGAGGAAGGCGGGGAUGACGUCAAAUCAUCAUGCCCCUUACGUCUAGGGCUACAGGCGUGCUACAAUGGUCGGUACAAAAAGUUGCAAAGUCGCGAGGCUGAGCUAAUCUCCAAAACCGACCCCAGUUCGGAUUGUAGUCUGCAACUCGACUACAUGAAGUUGGAAUCGCUAGUAAUCCUGAAUCAGAAUGUCAGGGUGAAUACGUUCCCGGGUGUUGUACACACCGCCCGUCACGCUAUGAGAGUCUGUAAUACCCGAAGUUGGUAGCCUAACCUUUUGGAGGGGGCCGGCGAAGGUAGGACCAGGUGAUUGGAGUG